rnacentral:rRNA from 1 species
AGUGAACGCUGGCGGUAGGCCUAACACAUGCAAGUCGAACGGCAGCACAGUAAGAGCUUGCUCUUACGGGUGGCGAGUGGCGGACGGGUGAGGAAUACAUCGGAAUCUACUUUUUCGUGGGGGAUAACGUAGGGAAACUUACGCUAAUACCGCAUACGACCUACGGGUGAAAGCAGGGGAUCUUCGGACCUUGCGCGAUUGAAUGAGCCGAUGUCGGAUUAGCUAGUUGGCGGGGUAAAGCCCACCAAGGCGACGAUCCGUAGCUGGUCUGAGAUGGUGAUCAGCCACACUGGAACUGAGACACGGUCCAGACUCCUACGGGAGGCAGCAGUGGGGAAUAUUGGACAAUGGGCGCAAGCCUGAUCCAGCCAUACCGCGUGGGUGAAGAAGGCCUUCGGGUUGUAAAGCCCUUUUGUUGGGAAAGAAAAGCAGCAGGUUAAUACCCCGCUGUUCUGACGGUACCCAAAGAAUAAGCACCGGCUAACUUCGUG